rnacentral:rRNA from 1 species
UACGAAGGGGGCUAGCGUUGCUCGGAAUCACUGGGCGUAAAGCGCACGUAGGCGGAUUGUUAAGUCAGGGGUGAAAUCCUGGAGCUCAACUCCAGAACUGCCUUUGAUACUGGCGAUCUCGAGUCCGGGAGAGGUGAGUGGAACUGCGAGUGUAGAGGUGAAAUUCGUAGAUAUUCGCAAGAACACCAGUGGCGAAGGCGGCUCACCUGGCCCGGUACUGACGCUGAGGUGCGAAAGCGUGGGAGCAACAGGG